CCUACGGGAGGCAGCAGUGGGGAAUUUUCCGCAAUGGGCGAAAGCCUGACGGAGCAACGCCGCGUGGGGGAUGAAGGCCUCUGGGCUGUAAACCCCUUUUCUCAAGGAAGAAGACCUGACGGUACUUGAGGAAUAAGCCACGGCUAAUUCCGUGCCAGCAGCCGCGGUAAUACGGGAGUGGCAAGCGUUAUCCGGAAUUAUUGGGCGUAAAGCGUCCGCAGGCGGCCUAUUAAGUCUGUCGUUAAAGCGUGGAGCUCAACUCCAUUUAAGCGAUGGAAACUGGAAGGCUAGAGUGUGGUAGGGGCAGAGGGAAUUCCCGGUGUAGCGGUGAAAUGCGUAGAUAUCGGGAAGAACACCAGUGGCGAAGGCGCUCUGCUGGGCCAUAACUGACGCUCAUGGACGAAAGCCAGGGGAGCGAAAGGGAUUAGAUACCCCUGUAGUCCUGGCCGUAAACGAUGAACACUAGGUGUCGGGGGAAUCGGACCCCCUCGGUGUCGUAGCUAACGCGUUAAGUGUUCCGCCUGGGAGUACGCACGCAAGUGUGAACUAAGGAAUUGACGG
rnacentral:rRNA from 1 species